UAGCACGGCCACACCCGAGUGUAAGUGUCUGAACCUGUCCAAUCUCAGAAGCUAAGCAGGGUCGUGCCUGGUUAGUACUUGGGUGGGAGACCACCUUGGAAGACCAAUGGGUUGUGUCAG
rnacentral:rRNA from 12 species